UAGGGAAUCUUCGGCAAUGGACGAAAGUCUGACCGAGCAACGCCGCGUGAGUGAAGAAGGUUUUCGGAUCGUAAAACUCUGUUGUUAGAGAAGAACAAGGACGUUAGUAACUGAACGUCCCCUGACGGUAUCUAACCAGAAAGCCACGGCUAACUACGUGCCAGCAGCCGCGGUAAUACGUAGGUGGCAAGCGUUGUCCGGAUUUAUUGGGCGUAAAGCGAGCGCAGGCGGUUUCUUAAGUCUGAUGUGAAAGCCCCCGGCUCAACCGGGGAGGGUCAUUGGAGACUGGGGGACUUGAGUGCAGAAGAGGAGAGUGGAAUUCCAUGUGUAGCGGUGAAAUGCGUAGAUAUAUGGAGGAACACCAGUGGCGAAGGCGGCUCUCUGGUCUGUAACUGACGCUGAGGCUCGAAAGCGUGGGGAGCAAACAGG
rnacentral:rRNA from 1 species